GACAGAGGAGCCAAGCGUUGUCCGGACUGACUGGGCGUAAAGCGCACGCAGGCGGCGCUGCGCGUGGGGUGUGAAAGCUCUUGGCUUAACUGAGAGAGGCCAUCCCAUACGGCAGUGCUCGAGCGGUGCAGAGGUCCGCGGAAUUGCCGGUGUAGUGGUGAAAUGCGUAGAGGUCGGCAGGAACACCCAGGGGGAAACCAGCGGACUGGGCAUCAGCUGACGCUCAGGUGCGACAGCGUGGGGAGCGAACAGG
rnacentral:rRNA from 1 species